GACGAACCGUGCGAACGUUAUUCGGAAUCACUGGGCUUAAAGGGCGCGUAGGCGGGCUUCCAAGUCAGGGGUGAAAUCCCACGGCUCAACCGUGGAAGUGCCUUUGAUACUGGGGGCCUCGAGGGGUGCAGGGGCGUGCGGAACUCAGGGUGGAGCGGUGAAAUGCGUAGAUAUCCUGAGGAACACCGGUGGCGAAAGCGGCGCGCUGGACACCUUCUGACGCUGAGGCGCGAAAGCCAGGGGAGCAAACGGG
rnacentral:rRNA from 1 species